rnacentral:tRNA from 1 species
GUUAAAUUGGCAGAUUAGUGCAAUAAAUUUAGAAUUUAUUUAAGUAGAUUUUUUUACAUUUAACAC